rnacentral:rRNA from 1 species
GACGAACGCUGGCGGCGUGCCUAACACAUGCAAGUCGAGCGAAUGAAGUUCCUUCGGGAACGGAUUUAGCGGCGGACGGGUGAGUAACACGUGGGCAACCUGCCUCAUAGAGGGGAAUAGCCUUCCGAAAGGGAGAUUAAUACCGCAUAAGAUUGUAGUACCGCAUGGUACAGCAAUUAAAGGAGCAAUCCGCUAUGAGAUGGGCCCGCGGCGCAUUAGCUAGUUGGUGAGGUAACGGCUCACCAAGGCGACGAUGCGAAGCCGACCUGAGAGGGUGAUCGGCCACAUUGGGACUGAGACACGGCCCAGACUCCUACGGGAGGCAGCAGUGGGGAAUAUUGGACAAUGGGGGAAACCCUGAUCCAGCGACGCCGCGUGAGUGAAGAAGUAUUUCGGUAUGUAAAGCUCUAUCAGCAGGGAAGAAAAUGACGGUACCUGACUAAGAAGCCCCGGCUAACUACGUGCCAGCCGCCGCCGUAA